rnacentral:rRNA from 1 species
UAAUACGGAGGAUCCGAGCGUUAUCCGGAUUCAUUGGGUUUAAAGGGUGCGCAGGCGGCUCUUUAAGUCAGCGGUAAAAUCGUGGGGCUCAACCCCAUCCCGCCGUUGAUACUGGGGAGCUUGAUUACGGUCGAGGCAGGCGGAAUUCGUCGUGUAGCGGUGAAAUGCAUAGAUAUCACGAAGAACCCCGAUUGCGAAGGCAGCUGACGAGUCCUUUACUGACGCUAAAGCUCGAAGGUGCGGGUAUCGAACAGGAUUAGAUACCCUGGUAGUCCGCACGGUAAACGAUGGAUGCCCGCUGUUGGCGAUACAAUGUCAGCGGCCAAGCGAAAGCGUUAAGCAUCCCACCUGGGGAGUACGCCGGCAACGGUGAAACUCAAAGGAAUUGACGGGGGCCCGCACAAGCGGAGGAACAUGUGGUUUAAUUCGAUGAUACGCGAGGAACCUUACCCGGGCUUGAACUGCCAGCGUACGAUUCAGAGAUGAUGAGGCCCUUCGGGGCGCUGGUGGAGGUGCUGCAUGGUUGUCGUCAGCUCGUGC